rnacentral:sRNA from 1 species
UGGGGCAGGUGAUGGGCACUGGGUGUUCCCUGGAGGGGCAGCAGGGGGCUGUGGGGUGGGGCAGAGGCUGGGACUGGCCUCCAGCUUUGUAUCUGCACAGGGCUUUCACCGAUACUCCACAGACCGCCAGUGGCACGUCCCUCACUUUGAGAAGAUGCUCUAUGACCAGGCACAGCUCGCUGUGGCCUAUUCGCAGGCCUUCCAGAUCUCUGGCGAUGAAUUCUACUCUGAUAUGGCCAAAGGCAUCCUGCAGUACGUGGCUCGGAGCCUGAGCCACCGGUCUGGAGGCUUCUAUAGCGCUGAGGAUGCAGACUCGCCCCCAGAGCGGGGCAUGCGGCCCAAAGAGGGCGCCUACUAUGUGUGGACGGUCAAAGAGGUUCAGCAGCUCCUCCCGGAGCCUGUGCUGGGUGCCACCGAGCCGCUGACCUCAGGCCAGCUCCUGAUGAAGCACUACGGCCUCACGGAGGCUGGUAACAUCAGCCCCAGUCAGGACCCCAAGGGGGAGCUGCAGGGCCAGAAUGUGCUGACCGUCCGGUACUCGCUGGAGCUGACUGCUGCCCGCUUUGGCUUGGAUGUGGAGGCCGUGCGGACCUUGCUUAAUACAGGGCUGGAGAAGCUCUUCCAGGCCCGGAAGCAUCGGCCCAAGCCACACCUGGACAGCAAGAUGCUGGCUGCCUGGAAUGGUGGGGCAGCAUCUCUGAGACCGAGCCUGUCUGUAGGAUCCCCCUUCACAAAGCCUCUGUCUGUCCGGCACCUGCUAAAUGCUCACUCUCCCUUUAUUAGCGUUAUUAUUCUCAGUUGACAAAAGAGGCUUAAGGAGCUUGAGUAACCUGCCCAAGGUCACACACAAGGGCUGGGAACCCCGCCGUGUCUGGCU